rnacentral:rRNA from 1 species
UUUCCGGUUGAUCCUGCCAGACCUGACUGCUAUCGGAUUGAUACUAAGCCAUGCGAGUCAUUGUAGCAAUACAAGGCGUACGGCUCAGUAACGCGUAGUCAACCUAACCUAUGGACGGGAAUAACCUCGGGAAACUGAGAAUAAUGCCCGAUAGAACAUUAUGCCUGGAAUGGUUUAUGUUCCAAACGAUUUAUCGCCGUAGGAUGGGACUGCGGCCUAUCAGUUUGUUGGUGAGGUAAUGGCCCACCAAGACUAUUACAGGUACGGGCUCUGAGAGGAGUAGCCCGGAGAUGGGUACUGAGACACGGACCCAGGCCCUAUGGGGCGCAGCAGGCGAGAAAACUUUGCAAUGUGCGAAAGCACGACAAGGUUAAUCCGAGUGAUUUCUGCUAAAGAAAUCUUUUGUUAGUCCUAGAAACACUAACGAAUAAGGGGUGGGCAAGUUCUGGUGUCAGCCGCCGCGGUAAAACCAGCACCUCAAGUGGUCAGGAUGAUUAUUGGGCCUAAAGCAUCCGUAGCCGGCUCUGUAAGUUUUCGGUUAAAUCUGUACGCUUAACGUACAGGCUGCCGGGAAUACUGCAGAGCUAGGGAGUGGGAGAGGUAGACGGUACUCGGUAGGAAGGGGUAAAAUCCUUUGAUCUAUUGAUGACCACCUGUGGCGAAGGCGGUCUACCAGAACACGUCCGACGGUGAGGGAUGAAAGCUGGGGGAGCAAACCGGAUUAGAUACCCGGGUAGUCCCAGCUGUAAACUAUGCAAACUCAGUGAUGCAUUGGCUUGUGGCCAAUGCAGUGCUGCAGGGAAGCCGUUAAGUUUGCCGCCUGGGAAGUACGUACGCAAGUAUGAAACUUAAAGGAAUUGGCGGGGGAGCACCACAAGGGGUGAAGCCUGCGGUUCAAUUGGAUUCAACGCCGGG